GAGAAUAAGUUAGCAUAAGAGUAGCCAUCUUAAGGGCCUAGAAGCAGUUUUCUGAAGUUGUGACUUAAAAGAAAAAAAACUGGAACUGGGUAAGGCCUUGGAAAACAAGUUAAUCAUGAACACCGGGAUGGGGGCAGCUGUAGCCUUCGGUCAGCUAACCUUGGUCAGUUAAUCCUACAUACCAAGCUUAUCGUGCAGAACCUCCCUAACAAUCGAAGAGUGGUCUUAUCUUGCUCUCGCUUAACCCCAGGAUGUAUGUCUUGCAAAGAUAAUGUGCAGCUGUAGAAAAUUACUAAGAGUUAAGUGUUUUGAAAAUGCCAUAUAAACCCCUGGUUUUGAGUGCUCGGGGUCCUUGUUGAGACCCGCUGCGUCGGGCUGACAAUUGGACCCCAGCUAGCUGGUCUCUAAAUAAAUUCCUCUUGCUUAUUGCAUCAAGAGACGCCUUUCGUGAGUGAUUUGGGGCGGCGUCCUCCUCUGGGGAAAUCCAACAUUUGGGGGCUCGUCCGGGAUCUGCGCUCACCCCGCUUCACUCCCGAAGUCGCUCUUGGAGGAAGAGAGUUUAAAAACUUUUGGUGACUGUUUUUGUAUUCCAUGGCAGUAUGUUUAUUUGCACGAGUUUAGUAAGAAUCUGCUUUCCUUGUGAGAAGACUAAUUAAGAACACUGGUUAUACUGCCAAGGCUUUGGCUGGAAUGUCAUACCUGAGAGACAUGUGCAUAGACUCAGAUGUGAACAACUUUAAAGAACUAAGAUUGACUUUAUAAAGCCAACAAAGCCCCUUAGAAGAACUAGCCUGGUACCUUGCUUGCAGAGUUCCCAGCAGCCUUACCAGGUGAGUAAAGAAGGUCGCUUCCUGGCAGGUGCAGAGACCUUGAGAAGAGAAAAAUUCAUCCAAAUCUACAGGUACUGCAGGCAAAGCCUGAUGGCAGGUCUGGCUUGGCUGUCUGGCCUCAAGAGGCCUUUAAAAGUUCAAUCUGAGGUUCCUUGCAAAAAGUUCCAGCAAAGCAUAUUUAAAAGACCCUGUGUAAUCAAUUGCUCUUCUUGCUGCACUUGUGCAAAUAAUCAAGCCAGCUGUUAAUUAUUUUCUUAACCUGGUUACUUCUAAUAAAAAUGACAGUGAUUUUAAAGUAUUGUUUCAAUAAUGCAGCCUCCUUCCAGAAUAGAAAAUCCAACUCCAGAUGUUGCUACAUAACCUAAUAACACAAUUUGUUUUAUCUUGCCUAGAAGCCACAAAACUGCAAAUAGUAAUAGAAAUGAAAC